rnacentral:lncRNA from 1 species
UGAGAAACAAGAUCACAGACAACAUGCGAUGUUAUGAAUGUAGCAGGCUUAUCUGAGGAGCUAGAGAAAAAGUGGUGGGAGUAUUGAGAUGCUUUUGGCUUGGAAUGAAUUCUGAGUCAUGUUGCGGUGCAUCAACAAUAGUAGAAAACUACGUUCUGAUUUUGGUGGAAAACUCGAGGUAUUUGUAGGAUCAAUAAAGGAAAAUGGAGGAGGAGGCAACCCACUGGCCCAAACUCGAUGCAUUUCUGUCAUUUGUUGUCUUAGCCUCCUAAUCUCUUGCUUCAAACUCUCAUUUUCCUGAUUCUUUAUUUUAUCCAUGAUGUCACUCUCUAUAUCUUUGUUGGACACAACUAACAGUUUGGAUUUGGUGUGAUGUGAAGGACCAGCCAGAAUGCCACAAACCAACCACCUUAAACUGACUUAACAAAAAAAACAACAAAUGUGUUAGAGUUCAACACUUUUUCAAAACCUCUUUUUCAUUUUUUUUUUGAAAAGAUCACCGAACCCAAGAAGAGAGCCUAUGUAUAUCACUCCCGAGAUAGGAGAAUCAGGUGUGCGUUGUUCGUGAAGUCUUGCCAAAAUGGCCAACUAAACUAUUUUUCCUUUAUUUUUUUUUCUUGAAACUUUAAAAAGAAAAGGAAAUAACAAAUUGUCAAAAGAAUUGACGAAAAUCUUUUUGUAUUUUUCAAGUUUAAACUCCCUAUACAAAAUGAAACCUAUGAUUACCAAAGAAAAAUCUUUUUGAGUUUUCGAUUUUGAAUUUCAUAUGAAAAUGAAACUUGAACCUAUUAAAGGAAAAAUCUUUCUUAAAGUUUUCUUUUAAAGAUGUAUAUGAAACACCUACUCUAAUAAAGAGUGAAGAAAAUCUUUCUUUUUUUUUAAUUUUUCAAAUAAGAUCCCCGAACCAACAAUAGACUGCCUACGUAUCUCACUCCCGAGAGAGGAGAAUCAGGGGUGCAUAGUUCGUCCAGAUUGGACAAAUAAGGAUUAAAGAAUUAACUAAACCUUGACUUGAGAGACACAACUACAACGACGAAAAUAAAAUCUUUUUGGGGAUUUUCACUUUGACACUCCACAUAAAACUGACACCAACAACUAUGAAAGAAAAAAUCUUUUUGAUAUUUUCAUUACAUGAAAUGUACAAAACUUCUACUACCUUUUUUUUGAAUUUUUCUUUUAUAAAAAGCUCCUAAAAAAAUCGUUUUGAAGUUUUCGAAUUGUGAAUGCUUGCUAAAUGAAACAAAAGGAAAAUCUUUUUGAUGUUUUCAUAGGCUAGCGAGGAAGGAGGCGAAGUCAGCAGUCACGGCAGCUAAGACGGCCGCUUUUGAGAGCUUGUAUGUAGGGUUACAGGAGAAAGGAGGGGAGAAAAAGUUGUUUAGACUCGCUAAGGCUAGGGAGAGGAAGGGUCGUGACCUCGAUCAGGUGAGGUGCAUUAAGGGGAAGGACGGUAGAGUGUUGGUGGAGGACGGCCACAUUAAGAAGAGAUGGCAAUCGUAUUUUCAUAGGCUCUUGAAUGACGAAGGGGAUAGAGCUAUUGUGUGGAUUUUAGCUAUUGUAGACGUUUUAAGGUAGACGAGGUUAGACAGGCAGUCCGCAGGAUGCGAAGGGGUAGGGCGACGGGGCCGGAUGAGAUACCGGUGGAGUUUUGGAAGUUCGUUGGAGAGGCUGGUGUAAGGUGGUUGACUGCAUUGUUCAAUGAAAUUUUCAGGACGGCAAAGAUGCCCGAGGCGUGGAGGUGGAGUUCCAUGGUCCCUCUCUAUAAGAAUAAGGGGGACAUUCAGAGUUGCAAUAACUAUAGGGGGAUUAAGUUAUUGAGUCACUCUAUGAAGAUCUGGGAGAGAGUAGUCGAGGUGAGGCUGAGACGGAUAGUGUCUAUUUCGGAAAACCAGUUCGGAUUUAUGCCCGGCCGCUCGACGACGGAGGCAAUUCACCUGGUACGGAGGUUGGUGGAACAGUAUAGGGAGAGGAAGAAGGAUCUGCACAUGGUGUUCAUCGACCUGGAAAAGGCGUACGACAAAGUCCCAGGGAAGUGCUUUGGAGAUGCUUGGAGGUGAGUGGAGUACCGCAGGCAUAUAUCAGAGUAAUUAAGGAUAUGUAUGAGGGAGCGAAAACCCAGGUGAGGACGGCGGGAGGAGACUCAGAGCAUUUCACUGUCCUGACAGGAUUGCACCAGGGAUCUACUCUUAGUCCCUUUUUGUUUGCGUUAGUAAUGGAUGUGUUGACGCGGCGUAUCCAAGGGGAGGUGCCGUGGUGUAUGCUUUUUGCAGACGAUGUAGUCCUGAUAGAUGAGACUCGAGGGGGUGUGAAUGACAAAUUAGAGUUGUGGAGGCAAACUCUGGAGUCUAAAGGGUUCAGGGUGAGCAGAACCAAGACAGAGUAUGUGGAAUGUAAGUUUAAUGACGUGAGGCGGGAGAAUGAGGUAGUAGUGAGGCUAGAAGCACAGGAGGUAGGGAAGAGGGAUAAGUUCAAGUAUCUCGGGUCCGUGAUCCAGAGUAACGGUGAGAUUGACGAGGAUGUCUCGCACCGUAUUGGGGCGGGAUGGAUGAAGUGGAAACUCGCAUCGGGGGUGCUGUGUGAUAAGAAGGUGCCGCCCAAGCUUAAAGGCAAAUUCUAUAGGGUGGUAGUCCGUCCGGCCUUGCUGUAUGGAGCGGAGUGUUGGCCAGUUAAGAACUCCCACAUCCAAAAAAUGAAGGUGGCAGAAAUGCGGAUGUUGCGCUGGAUGUGUGGACUGACCCGAGGGGAUAGAGUUCGGAAUGAGACUAUCCGGGAGAAGGUUGGUGUGACUUCAGUGGAGUGUAAGAUGCGGGAAGCACGAUUGAGAUGGUUCGGACACGUGAAGAGGAGGGGCACGGAUGCCCCGGUCCGUAGGUGUGAGAGGCUAGCGUUGGAUGGUUUUAGACGGGGUAGGGGUAGACCGAAGAAGUACUGGGGUGAGGUGAUUAGGCGGGACAUGGAACAGUUACAGCUCACCGAGGACAUGACCCUAGCAUGUUUUAUUACGAAUCUGUGUGCUUUCCUCUGCUUUCCUCUGUUUUAUAUUACUUAUGGGUGCCGUAUUUAUGUUAUGUAAUCGGCUUCUAUGCUUUACUAUGUGUUUGUGUGGUAUCUCGUGCCUUGAGCCGGGGGUCUAUCGGAAACAACCUUUCUACUUCAUCAGAGGUAGAGGUAUGGACUGCAUACAUCUUACCCCCCAGACCCCACUAGGUGGGAAUACACUGGGUUUGUUGUUGUUGUUGUUGUUGUUAUUUUUGAAAAAUAAGUGCAAAAAGUAAAAAAAAGUCUUUUUUUUUUUAAUUUUUGAAUCGUGGAAAACAAAAGUCAUAAAGAACUCUAAAAACUACAAAACUCUCUUUUUUUCUUUUCGACUCACUUUUCACUUUUUUUUUAAUAUUUUUUUCUCAACAUUUCUUGCCUAUGCACUUUACUUCUAACACAUGUUUUCUCCAAAUCAGUCCAUCAAAUGACCAUGUUACCCUCCAAGAUGCAACAUUUAGCACAUAGGGAUGAUUUAGAGGUGAGUGUCCUACAAAGGACCACAUGGGUCCCGCUAGGUCUCAAUAUGAUGUGGAUAAGCAUGACCUAAAGGCUGACCUACGCUAGGGUUUACUAACAAGGUUGUUCAGGGGGGCAUAUAGUCGAUAGUGGCUGCUUUACUUUCCACCCACUCCAUACGUCCGACGGCUCCCUCUCCUAAAAUAAGGGUGACUCAACUAGAGUUUGUAUACACGACGUGCACUCCAGGACUUGUUGCAGAAAUAAUUGAGACUCAACUAGAGUUUGUAUACACGACGUGCACUCCAGGACUUGUUGCAGAAAUAAUUGACUCGGGUUAAGCACAUGAUGCCAGAUAUAAAACGGUAACAUAUAGGAGAAAAAAUGUAAACACGUAGCAUGUAAGCACUCAACAAUGAUAAAAUAAACACAAACAGUAAUACAAACAAUGUUUAUACACUCAUAAUGUCAAACUAAGCCGAUACAACUCCAAAAAUAAACUCGAAUUCUGAAAAACUCCCCAGCAGAGUCGCCAGAGCUGUUACACCCCUUUUUAACUCCAAAAAAGAUUAUUUUUAUGGGUUUCAAAAGGGUUUUAUUUAUUAAAUUGACAAAAAUGAGGAUUUGUUUCGAAAAAGGUUAAUUUAUAUUUUUUAUUCAGAGUCGCCACUUGACAUAAUCCGGUGUGCCAAGACACCUUUGGAGAAUCCUUUUCGAAAUGAUUUGACUCUUUAAAAAAUCGGUUUGUGAACAAAGAUUCCGACUAAGGAAUUCUGUUGACCGAGGGGGAUGGUGUUAGGCAUCCCUCGAUCUCAUGGUUCGACCACGGUCGCUUGGUGGAGCAUAUCAGCUAAUUUGACAUUACAAAUGUACAAACCACACAAAAACACACAAACAAUCAAUCAAACACAUGAAACAAAACAAAUCCAAAAUAUAGUGUUCAGUCCAAUUAUACAGUUCAAAAUAAAAAAUGCGAAAAAAUAAAUCCUAUUCUAACCUACACUAAUCCUGAACUAUGCUCCAGUGCUUUACCCGAUGCCUCGGGCCUUCAUCACGGGCGUCCUUCGAGUACAAAAUACUGUGGGUUAUUCCCCAACAAAUAAACAAAAAUACCUCGGGGCAUUUUCCGGCCAAAUAAUACAUUUGAUCCAAAAGCAAUAAAAUCAAGCCAUUCAACACAUGUUUCGAGCAUUCAACAUUCCACAAUUCCUAAAAUUUGCCAACCCGAACCUACUAUUUGCCUACCCAACUCGACCUAUCAUGGAACUAUCACGAUCGACGACGUCAAUGAAUCAAAACAACAAAAAAAUUAAAAUUAAUCCUAAUUCACUUUAGCAAUUUUUCAAUUCCGCACCAAAUUCAUUCUCAACCAAUGAUUAACACAUGCAUCGAUUAUCAAUUCAUUUUUCAACAUUCAAAUCCAACAUCAACCAAUACACAAUCAAGAUUCAAACAUAACAACACAUAAAUCAUUCACGAUUACGUAAAAAUUAAAAAAAGAAAAGAUAGAAUUAGACCUCAGUGCUUUCAAAAAUCAAUGUAUUAUUUCGAUCAACCCGGUAGAAUCCGCGUCCGAAAUCCUCGAACAAAACCCCCAAUCACGAUCAAGAAUCCAACUCGGUAUCAAGAAAGUGAAGCCCAAAAUUGAUUACGGUGAAUUGAUCAGGACGAAACAAAAUCUAAAUCCCAAAAUCAGUUCGAAGACAGAUGAGCUAAGACCAAAAUUGCAACAGACUAAAUCGAACCCGUUAAAAUUCUCAGCAAACGAACUCACAACUUGAACAAAAAAAAACCCCAAAACCCGAACUAACCCGAACAAUCCCACUAAACCAUUUCAAUUUUUAUCAUUUUUCGACGAAAAUUGGUCAGAAUAAACUGAAACGGCUCAAAUUUUUAUGGAUUAGAUGGAUGACUUACCUUUCGACGAGAUUCGGACGAAAAACCGGGAUCGGGACUGACUUCUUGAUGUGAGUAUGGUUGGAACGAGAUUAGCGGAGCUUUCUCGGUGGCGAUUCUAGUGAGUCACCGGCGAGAACUUCGCCGGAAGGCAGUCCAACGGCCUCUAUGUCUCUCUCUCGAUCUCUCUGGCUCGCUCAAAUCUCUCUUACCUUCAACGAUUUCUCACUGUUUCUCUUUUAACUCUCUAUGCCUCUCUCCAUCUCUCACUCUCACUCUCCUCUCUUCUCCUUACCGUGUGUAUUUUCUGAGUUUUCAGUGAGCUGGUGAAAAUGCUAUGCCAGUGUAAUUGGGGAUUUUGUGGUGAUUAGUGAAUAAGAAAAGGAAAAAAAAUGUGCGAUGUGUUCUAUGUUGAGAAAAAAAAGAAUCCUGUGGUGCGUAUGUUCUGUGUAUAUGGAUUGGUCAAGAAGAAAAGAAAAUCUCCUGUACCUAUGUGUUUUUGGAAAAAUGGAAAAGAAGACCAAAGAGAAAGGAAAAAAAGGUCUCCCCUAAUCUAUUCCAGUGAAUGGAAAUUAUAUCGAUGGAAUGUGGGGUCCAUGAGUGAGGUGUCUAUUUUGAUUGAGUAGGUUAUUAGGAUAAGGUGUAAAGUUGGUUAGAAUAGAAAUAAAACAAGAUAAAGUAUGUUAGGGAUUAUGUUAAGGGUUGUUAUUUUUUUUUUUUUUGUGAGGUAUAAUUACAUGGAUAAGGGUGUACAAUAAAGUGAGG